AUUGAACGCUGGCGGCAUGCCUAACACAUGCAAGUCGAACGGCAGCACAGCAGUAGCAAUACUGUGGGUGGCGAGUGGCGGACGGGUGAGGAAUACGUCGGAAUCUGCCCAGUCGUGGGGGAUAACUAGCCGAAAGGUUAGCUAAUACCGCAUACGACCGAGAGGUGAAAGCGGGGGACCGCAAGGCCUCGCGCGAUUGGAUGAGCCGACGUCGGAUUAGCUAGUUGGCGGGGUAAAGGCCCACCAAGGCGACGAUCCGUAGCUGGUCUGAGAGGAUGAUCAGCCACACUGGAACUGAGACACGGUCCAGACUCCUACGGGAGGCAGCAGUGGGGAAUAUUGGACAAUGGGCGCAAGCCUGAUCCAGCAAU
rnacentral:rRNA from 1 species